GCACUGGAAGAGCUCUGUGGACUGCUUCUGAGCACGCUGCGCUGCCUGUGAGCACCCCGCACACAAAGAGAGACAAAAACCUACGGUCGCUGCUAUCAAGAGCCUGUGCACAACAAUGUCAGCGUAUCUCCUGAUGGGAGAAGUGAAGUGAGUGUAUUUCUCUAGGGCCAGCCCUGCCAAGAGAAAGGAAGAGAGGUUAGCAAUCAAAGCCAUCAUGUGUCUCCUGCAAGAGUCCAGAAAUCACAGCAAAGGCAGAAGAAUGACCAGAACUUUAGUAAUAAAAGCUACCGUGUGUCUAUUGAGAAGCCUUUGGCACUGGCACAUUCUCGAAGCUCAGUGAAGAAUUCCUGUCGUGGUGGAGGGUGUUGCCGCAGCAGAGCUUGGUGGGGAAAAUCCUCGGAAAUUCUUUUCGCCACCCAGUGGUUGGCCAGGAUCAUGCAUUCCGCCACGGUCUCGUGCACUUCCAGCGGCUGCUUGGGAAUGAGGUCAUGGAUAUUCCGUCUGUCAUCCAGCUGCACUCGGAUCUCGAUCCCUUCCAGCUCCAGCGCGCCGCACCUGUCCCGCUUAGCUCGGAUGUGUCGUGCUAUGUCGGUGAGCUUGGAUAUGGCCCAAACCAGCUCAGCCAGCUUCUUCUGCCUCAUUCCUUCAUCCAGGCUUUUCAGUUCCAGGAUAUCCCCCACCACACUCGUGUCUCCAUCCAACAAUCCCUGUGCUGUCUCAUACUCCAGCUUGUAGGCAGAGCGGAUGAGAGUUUUGGUGUAUUGAACCCUCAGCGUCUCGUACGAUUCCUUCUCCAGCUCCCACAAGACGCUCACAGCGUAUCUGAAAGACAACACCACAGUUCUGACAUAGUUCUGGUAGACUUAAACUCCCAUUUCAAGCACAUUCAACUCUUUUAUAGACUUAAUUAUGGUUGUGGAAGCAUCUUUUUCUUCAUGAAACCAGUGCUCAGCAACACCACUAAAUAACGCACUUGCCUUUCAGUCUCAUGCAUCACAACUUAAAUGAGGACCAGCUACACAGCAGUAUUUUCAGUUCAUCUGCUGAAGCAGAGUACCCCUAAGGUAUAAGGUCUCCUUUGUGUUAAAGCAGAGCUACACUGUGAUAGUUAUUUUUAUCCAUUUUUAUUUUAUUAGUCAGAUGCAUUCACAAUGAACACCUCUGCACCCUGCAUAUCCUCAUGCCAGCAGCCAACUGAGCCUGUAAAUUGAUAUAAACUGGUCUAUAAAAUUCAGCCUACCUGUGGUAGAACUGAAAGGUAAUUUCUAAUGUACACAAUUCUUCCAGUUGAUGAUUUAGUAAUAAUGCAAAAUGACUUGUAAAAGUCUCCCUGCUCAGAACAAUUCCAAACCCUUACCUGUCCACUCCGCUGAGGAGGGAGCACACGUCAGCACUGAGGACAGAGGGCAGCAUGUCAUAGCGCCGAUCGGCUAAGUAAUACGUGGUAGCCCUGAGGAACAAAACACAGUUGCUGUUCUUCUCACCAGGACUCCUGGGUCUGGGGUGUAAGCAUUGCUUCAUAGUCUGAUUUUAAAAGGUUAUUUCUACAGAACACUCACAGGUGCAAUACCAAAGUAAAAUUAUUUAAAUAGCUAUUUGUACAGUAAAACCCUAAUUUUGCCUUCCUUGGUAUUUCAGCUGCCAUUAAGGGCAGAACCAGGGCUGGACAAAAUAUGCUCACUGAAGAAGAGGUGAUUUAAUGGGUACAUCAAACAUCUCUGCUGCCUACAGUUUAUACUUCUUUGCAUCUACAAACAAUACAGUUCAUGAAGUGAUUCAGCAGUUUAAGUCCAAAUAGCGACAAUAAAAGAAAAAAGGGAAUGAAAUAUUUGGACAUUAAAAGACAAGAUUGAAUAUUAAAACAUAAGCCUGACAAAUACCUCUGGAAUUAAAUUAAUGUGAGACUUAAUUCCAUUUUGUGGGUGUUCAUCUCCCUUGGAAUACAAACGAGUGGUUUUCAAAAAUACUUCAAGUCACAGAUGUUAAAUUAGACUCUAAAGCAAAGAGGAGUGAUGAGGGAAAAAUAACCUUAUACUAUAACUUUCUGGAAAAUGUGUCCAAAUAAAAGCAGAAUGUAAUUAGUUAUAUAAUAGUUUAAUUAGCUUUAACAAGUCUUUAGUAGGACAUGAAAGGUGGAAGCAUGUUUCUUUCCUUCCAAAGUUUCCUAAAGGUAGCAUCACAAACUUCUGAGCUUCAUGAAUUUUCUAAUUUUCAGAAAAUAACUUACCUUGCUCUGGCCUCAACAUCAGUGUAGGAAUUUGCUGCCACAAAGUGAGUCACAUCUGCAAUGUGCACCCCCAGCUCGAGAUUGCCAUUGGGCAGAGUCCUGACAGAGAGAGCAUCAUCCACAUCCUCGCAGCCCUUGGGGUCAAUGCUGAAUAUCAAGUGGGUAUCUCUCAAGUCAAGGCGUUUUUUUUCCUCCUCUGGACUCACUUUCCAUGGAUUCUUCGGAGAACUCACAGGCAUUUCACUCAUCUGUACAGAAAUAUUGUUGAACAUAAAUUUAUAUUUUCUACAAAAAGAUACCAACUAAUUAGAUUUAAUUAGUUUUUCAAAUUCUUCUUGUGUUUAAUUUUCCAAGUCCAUUACAUUUACUUUAUGGAAAGUAUGGAAAAAAUUGAAAAGAAUUCUAUGUGCAUUAGUAACCAGUGUUAUUACUGUGGUGAUACUGCAGCUCUGGCAAAUAUAACCACUACAUAUUGGUUUUUUACAGUCUUUUUCUUUCAGUUAAUUGUAGGUAUAAUCAAAAUAGUUACCUGAGAAAGCUGGAUCCUCUCCCAGUUGAAAACAAAGUAUUUAAUACAGUAGGAGGAGGACUUUAGGAUAAGUAGCAUAACCACACACUAAAGACAGAAACAUCUUAAAAGCCUAGCUCAAAUUUGAAUUAAGAGUUUGUAAUCUUUCCUCACAGCAAAUGGAUUCCAUUAAAAUCGCUCUUGACUUGAAAA